CCGGGUGAUUCAGUUUAUAGUAAGGCAGUUUAUUAUGAGACAAAGAUGUUUGGCAAAGCGUGCACGGACUCCUUCGUUUAGCUCUUAGGGAACUAGCAGAAGAGAGAGCCCCGAAACAUAGUGUACAUCCAAUUUAUACAAUGAAAUAACAGUGUGUUGACGUUGAGUCUAGUAGGUCCGCUCUCCUGACUGGUCGAUGAGUGGAGGGACGGUCCACUCUCCAGGUGGUGUCGACUUCCCAUUGGCCCUUGGCAGUGUCCUUUGUCCUCGGAGUCCAACACACCUAAGUGUGUGUGUGUGUGUAUUUCUGGUAAUUCGUGUCUGGGUGCUUUGCGAUAUUCAUGGAAUGUUGUUCUUUACACCAGUGGUCAGUUCGUGUGGCUAGGGCUUAAGUCAGCCAUCUGUCUCUAGGUGUGGUCGUGAUUGGUAUCAGUUGGUUGCUCAAUAUGUCUCUGGAAUUUUGUUGUGUGCUGUUGUGAAACAUGUUGUGCAAAUGCCCUCCUUAUAUAUCAUUAGGUAAAACGUUAGAUUAUCUUUAUUACAAAUCCCCCUCUUCACGUCUGCAAGACGUGACAAAAAAGAACAAUCUGCGGCACAGUGGGAGUGAAAACAAACAAACGGAAGUCAGAGACAAAUUUUGUGAGUCCCCCUCUUCACGUCUCACCUCAGCAGAUAGCUUGUCAAGUCUCAAUAGGGAUUAAAAUCAUAUCAUUUCCAUUACAAUCCACCCGUUUUGCUAGAUAUUUCACAUACAUUAUAACACAUCUAUUUUGAUUGGAUUCAGAAAUUUCACACAAAUUCAAACUAAUUCAUGCAUCCCAAUAGAUGGUCUCAUCUAACAUGUGCUCCUCAUAUUUGAAUGAAUCCUCCACCUUGCUCGGCGGUAGGUACUUGUCAUCUCAUUGAUCUGAACUUUGACUCGGUCCGUAGCUCACCAUCUGCUCCGUUAUCAUCUCUCUAGAGUUCUGGUGAUUAAACCUCUUGCACACGGGACCAAACAACAACCACACAACCCAAUCACACUCAUACAGGUGAAAGCAGCCCAUAAUACAGUUCUUGCAACACUUUUCCAUUUCCCAAACAUGAUCUGUGUUAUCAAAAAUGUACGUACAGCAAUGAACCUAAUCAUUCUACCUACACCAUCCUCUUUGCCCGUAACCUAUCGAGAGUCAGUCUAUUUUACCAGGUCAUGAGGGAGGUGGCGGAUAAUUGGUCAGAGAACCUCUUUACUGCAUCCCCUGUUUCAUUCAUGAAUCUCUGUUGAUUAAAAGAUGUCAUUAAUUCAAUCCACAUUAUUAUUUAUUGUCAACUACCAAAAUAAUGUAGUGUUAAAGCCUUCACAUAUUUGAUUCAUAGCUUUGUAUUCAUCUGGAACUUCCCUGAGGAUGCCAAUAGCAUCCAUCUUGUAAAGCUACUCCCAUCCUGGUCAAAACUCCUCCUGUGCCUACUUUAGCCUCCUAUAACUGGCCUCUGAUGACUAACUCGAACUGGUUAGACCAAUAACCCCAGGGCGCAAUUCCUAACCACCCUUUGUGGUCAUUUCUGUCGUCUGCGUCCUUUGCUGGUACUAGCCCACCCUUCAUCAGUUAUAGGUGCUAUGAGGUUACACAUUUUCUCCUGUGCUUUCAAACCUAAGUCAGUCAUAUUAACAAUUACCUUUCCAGCCAUUAAAAUCAUCUUAAUUCUCGGUGCCAUUUUUGUAUCUAUAACACUGGUAUUCACUCCGGAAUUUAGGUGAACCGAGGUGGGUUGGCUGAGUACUUCAAUCUGGCCAACCCAUAUUCCUGUACAGUUGUCUGCUUCCCCAGGAAAUUGUUUAAUGUUUACCUUAAAUUCUACAUCUUGAUCUUCUUUGAUUCCUUAUUCUGUACGUCACUCAUCAGUGUAUUAUAUAGUUUAUCUUUUACUUCUUCUCCAUGACAACGGUAACCUAUGUUUAGUACCAGUAGGUGGUGGAUCUGAAUAUAUCAGAAAGAUUAGACUAUGAUGCAGCUCAGAGUUUCUACUCUUCCCAAAAACCGUCAACCCUCUCCUGCCCUUAGUCUCUCUGCUUGGUACCACCCCAUACUCACACCUCUAGGAGCACACACAGUGAUGAACGGUCGGGAUAGGGAAUCUUCGUUAAGGAGGUAACCCCCGGACCCUGUUGGUAUCGGUUCUUCUCCUAACUCUGUGUGUGAUCAGCAGUGGUCAUAUGUGUAAAUACCUCCUUGCAGUGGGUAACGUGGACCCAAGUGACUCUCUUAGCUUUUCUAAUGGCAAAGGCAAUGGUUUAACAGCACCUGGUAUGGGCCUUCCCCACGGGGCUGCUUCCAGUCUUUUCUCCUCAGGGACUGGAUCCACACCCAGUCUCCUGGUUGGAUUGAGUGAAUCACCUUCUCCUGUAAUUCACCUGUUGAACACAAAAUCUUGGACAUACGGGUUUGGUUAACAAACAGUCUUCUCAUGUGCUCUGCUAGUAUAUCUUUAACUUCUAUGUCUACCUGUUCUGGUAUCUCUAUUCUCCCUAACUCUGGCAUUCUAUAGGCUCUACCUGAUUAGCUAAACUGUCAUCCAUCAUUUAAAGAGAUAGAUCCCAGUAUCAACACUAGGGAUUAUAUCUUGUCCUAUAUUCUAGCUACCAUAAUCAUGUCCACCAAGUAAGUUGGGAACACUUCUACCCAUUUGCUAUACUUAUCUGUUAUUGUUAAACACCCCUUAUUCCCCUCAAUUCGGAAUAGUUCAAUAAGUCCAUUUCCAAAUGUUGGAACGGACAUUCUACAAAAAAUGUUUUUGUUCUAGUAGCAUCCUAUCCUGUUCUAUCGCCUGCUCUACUAUACUCCCCCUUACUCCCCCUUUUUAUACAUGGCUCAAACCAUGUAUCAAUUUUGCUGCAUUUCUUAACAAUGUCUUUUGUAAGGUUAGUAAAUUAUCCUUAUGUCAGCCCUUCUCUUGUAGGAUUGCCCCCUUUCAUAUACCACAUGUCCAAUUCUCCCUGGGGCAUUCAUCCUUAGGUACCCUGUGCAUUUCUCUAUCAAGUGUCCUAUCUUC
rnacentral:lncRNA from 1 species